rnacentral:rRNA from 1 species
GACGAACGCUGGCGGCGUGCUUAACACAUGCAAGUCGAACGCUGAAGCUCAGCUUUUGUUGGGUGGAUGAGUGGCGAACGGGUGAGUAACACGUGAGUAACCUGCCUCCUUCUUUGGGAUAACGCCCGGAAACGGGUGCUAAUACUGGAUAUUCACUGGUCUUCGCAUGGGGGUCGGUGGAAAGGGUUUUUCUGGUGGGGGAUGGGCUCGCGGCCUAUCAGCUUGUUGGUGGGGUGAUGGCCUACCAAGGCUUUGACGGGUAGCCGGCCUGAGAGGGUGACCGGUCACAUUGGGACUGAGAUACGGCCCAGAGUCCUACGGGAGGCAGCAGUGGGGAAUAUUGCACAAUGGGCGCAAGCCUGAUGCAGCGACGCCGCGUGAGGGAUGGAGGCCUUCGGGUUGUGAACCUCUUUCGCUCAUGGUCAAGCCGCAACAAUGGUUGUGGUGAGGGUAGUGGGUAAAGAAACGCCGGCUAACUACGU